rnacentral:rRNA from 1 species
UUUGGCCAAUGGGCGAAGGCCUGAUCCAGCAAUCCCCGCCCAGGAAUUAUGUGUUUUUUGGUGUAAACGGUUCCCUAGGAAACACCCCGGUUGCCCUAAUACGCCGGGCUAAUGACGGUCCCGUAAGAAUAAGCACCGGCUAAUACGUGCCAGCAGCCCCGGUAAUACGUAGGGUGGAGCGUUAAUCGGAAUUAUGGGCGUAAAGCGUGCCCAGCCGGGUUAUGUAAGCACAGUGUGAUUUUUCUUUGGGCUCAACCUGGGAAUUGAUUGUGACUGCAUAGCUAGAGUACGGUAGAGGGGGAUGGAAUUCCGCGUGUACCAGUGAAAUGCGUAGAUAUAGGAGGAACACCGAGGGAAGCCCAUCCCCGCAUAUACUACGCUCCGCAGAAA